GAUUGAACGCUGGCGGCAGGCUUAACACAUGCAAGUCGAGCGGAGUUUUGGUGCUUGCACCAAGACUUAGCGGCGGACGGGUGAGUAAUGCUUAGGAAUCUGCCUAUUAGUGGGGGACAACGUUUCGAAAGGAACGCUAAUACCGCAUACGUCCUACGGGAGAAAGCAGGGGAUCUUCGGACCUUGCGCUAAUAGAUGAGCCUAAGUCGGAUUAGCUAGUUGGUGGGGUAAAGGCCUACCAAGGCGACGAUCUGUAGCGGGUCUGAGAGGAUGAUCCGCCACACUGGGACUGAGACACGGCCCAGACUCCUACGGGAGGCAGCAGUGGGGAAUAUUGGACAAUGGGCGGAAGCCUGAUCCAGCCAUGCCGCGUGUGUGAAGAAGGCCUUUUGGUUGUAAAGCACUUUAAGCGAGGAGGAGGAGCUCUAGGUUAAUACCCUAGAAGCUUGGACGUUACUCGCAGAAUAAGCACCGGCUAACUCUGUGCCAGCAGCCGCGGUAAUACAGAGGGUGCAAGCGUUAAUCGGAUUUACUGGGCGUAAAGCGCGCGUAGGCGGCUAAUUAAGUCAAAUGUGAAAUCCCCGAGCUUAACUUGGGAAUUGCAUUCGAUACUGGUUAGCUAGAGUGUGGGAGAGGAUGGUAGAAUUCCAGGUGUAGCGGUGAAAUGCGUAGAGAUCUGGAGGAAUACCGAUGGCGAAGGCAGCCAUCUGGCCUAACACUGACGCUGAGGUGCGAAAGCAUGGGGAGCAAACAGGAUUAGAUACCCUGGUAGUCCAUGCCGUAAACGAUGUCUACUAGCCGUUGGGGCCUUUGAGGCUUUAGUGGCGCAGCUAACG
rnacentral:rRNA from 1 species